AUUGAACGCUGGCGGCAGGCCUAACACAUGCAAGUCGAGCGGAGCGGCGGCCGGGCGAGUGAUGACUAGGUAUGUGACUGGCCGUGGGGGAGAGCGUCAGGAAACGGGAGCUAAUCCAGCAUCCUAUUAGCUGCGCCUAGGUCGGAUUAGCUAGUUGGUGGGGUAGAGGCCUACCAAGGCGCCGAUCCGUAACUGGUCUGAGAGGAUGAUCAGUCACACUGGAACUGAGACACGGUCCAGACUCCUACGGGAGGCAGCAGUGGGGAAUAUUGGACAAUGGGCGAAAGCCUGAUCCAGCCAUGCCGCGUGUGUGAAGAAGUUCUUCGGAUGGUAAAGCACGUUAAGUUGGGAGGCGUUACCAACAGAAUAAGCACCGGCUAACUCCGUGCCAGCAGCCGCGGUAAUAC
rnacentral:rRNA from 1 species